rnacentral:lncRNA from 11 species
CUCCAUUCCAGUCUCUGGAUCUUUGCCUUGCUCCCCUGACAUUCUAGGAUUCUCCGUGGAGGAUUGUGCCUCGUGACUCUUGAGUACACCCUGCCCUGGUGCCAACUCAUAAUGAACAAACCAAAAACAUGGCUACCAAAUCAUGACACAGA